rnacentral:rRNA from 1 species
UGUCUAGUAUAGCGAUUUAUACAGUGAAACUGCGAAUGGCUCAUUAAAUAGAGAUAGGUUAUUUGAUAGUACCUACCUAAUCGGAUAUCCGUGGUAAAUCUAGAGCUAAUACGUGCUAAAAACCCCGACUGUUUGGAAGGGGUGUAUUUAUUAGAUAAAAAAUCAAUGCCUUCGGGCUCUUUGAUGAUUCAUAAUAACUUUUCGAAUCGCAUGGCUUUUUGCCGGCGAUGGUUCAUUCAAAUUUCUGCCCUAUCAACUUUCGAUGGUAGGAUAGUGGCCUACCAUGGUGGCAACGGGUAACGGGGAAUAAGGGUUCGAUUCCGGAGAGGGAGCCUGAGAAACGGCUACCACAUCCAAGGAAGGCAGCAGGCGCGCAAAUUACCCAAUCCUAAUUCAGGGAGGUAGUGACAAUAAAUAACGAUACAGGGCCCUUUCGGGUCUUGUAAUUGGAAUGAGUACAAUGUAAAUACCUUAACGAGGAACAAUUGGAGGGCAAGUCUGGUGCCAGCAGCCGCGGUAAUUCCAGCUCCAAUAGCGUAUAUUAAAGUUGUUGCAGUUAAAAAGCUCGUAGUUGAACUUUGGGCUUGGUUGGCCGGUCCGUUUUUAUGACGUGUACUGGUCCCAACCGAGCCUUUCCUUCUGGCUAACUAUCCUUUCGGGGGUAGCGAACCAGGACUUUUACUUUGAAAAAAUUAGAGUGUUCAAAGCAGGCCUUUGCUCGAAUAUAUUAGCAUGGAAAUAAUAGAAUAGGACGUUUGGGUUCUAUUUUGUUGGUUUCUAGGACCAUCGUAAUGAUUAAUAGGGACGGUCGGGGGCAUCAGUAUUCAAUUUGUCAGAGUGAAUUCUUGGAUUUAUGAAGACUACCUACUGCGAAGCAUUUGCCAGACGUUUUCAUGAUCAAGAAUCGAAGUUUAGGGG